rnacentral:rRNA from 1 species
UACGUAGGGUGCAAGCGUUGUCCGGAAUUAUUGGGCGUAAAGAGCUUGUAGGCGGUUUGUCGCGUCUGCUGUGAAAUUUCGGGGCUCAACCCCGAACUUGCAGUGGGUACGGGCAGACUAGAGUGUGGUAGGGGAGACUGGAAUUCCUGGUGUAGCGGUGGAAUGCGCAGAUAUCAGGAGGAACACCGAUGGCGAAGGCAGGUCUCUGGGCCACUACUGACGCUGAGAAACGAAAGCAUGGGGAGCGAACAGG